GAGCGAUGAAGGCUUUCGGGUCGUAAAGCUCUGUGGGGCGGGACGAAUAAGGCUUGGCUAACAUCCAAGUCGAUGACGGUACCGCCUUAGCAAGCACCGGCUAACUCUGUGCCAGCAGCCGCGGUAAAACGUAGGAGGCGAGCGUUAUCCGGAUUCACUGGGCGUAAAGCGCGUGCAGGUGGCUUGGUAAGUUAGGCGUGAAAUCUCCCGGCUCAACUGGGAGAGGUCGUCUAAUACUACCGGGCUAGAGAGCAGAAGAGGAAGAUGGAAUUCCCGGUGUAGUGGUGAAAUGCGUAGAUAUCGGGAGGAACACCAGUGGCGAAGGCGAUCUUCUGGUCUGUUUCUGACACUCAGACGCGACAGGCUAGGGGUUAGUCCCACGGGAAUUUAGAGAACCCCGGGUUAUCCUAGCUGUAAACGAUGUGAACUUGGCGUUGGUGGCUAACUCCAUCAGUGCCGUAGCAAACGCGAUAAGUUCACGCCUGGGACUACGGCCGCAGGUUAAACUCAAAGGAAUU
rnacentral:rRNA from 1 species